rnacentral:rRNA from 1 species
UACGAAGGGGGCUAGCGUUGCUCGGAAUCACUGGGCGUAAAGGGUGCGUAGGCGGGUCUUUAAGUCAGGGGGGAAAUCCUGGAGCUCAACUCCAGAACUGCCUUUGAUACUGAAGAUCUUGAGUUCGGGAGAGGUGAGUGGAACUGCGAGUGUAGAGGUGAAAUUCGUAGAUAUUCGCAAGAACACCAGUGGCGAAGGCGGCUCACUGGCCCGAUACUGACGCUGAGGCACGAAAGCCAGGGGAGCGAACGGG